ACGGGUGAGUAACGCGUAUGCAACCUACCUAUCAGAGGGGAAUAACCCGGCGAAAGUCGGACUAAUACCGCAUAAAACAGGGGCACCGCAUGGUGAUAUUUGUUAAAGAAAUUCGCUGAUAGAUGGGCAUGCGUUCCAUUAGGUAGUUGGUGAGGUAACGGCUCACCAAGCCGACGAUGGAUAGGGGAACUGAGAGGUUGGUCCCCCACACUGGUACUGAGACACGGACCAGACUCCUACGGGAGGCAGCAGUGAGGAAUAUUGGUCAAUGGGCGAGAGCCUGAACCAGCCAAGUCGCCGUGAAGGAAGAAGGAUCUAUGGUUCGUAAACUUCUUUUGCAGGGGAAUAAAGUGCGGGACGUGUCCUGUUUUGUAUGUACCCUGAGAAUAAGGAUCGGCUAACUCCGUGCCAGCCGCUGC
rnacentral:rRNA from 1 species